rnacentral:ncRNA from 1 species
UAGGAACCGUGAGAUUAAGCCAUCGCGGCAGGUGCUCACGUUAAGCCCACUGACUUUCAUGUCCCUAUCUACUAUCUAGCGAAACCACAGCCAAGGGAACGGGCUUGGAAUAAUUAGCGGGGAAAGAAGACCCUUUUGAGCUUGACUCUAAUCUGGCAGUGUAAGGAGACAUAAGAGGUGUAGAAUAAGUGGGAGAUAUUAGACUUCGGUUUGGUAUCGACAAUGAAAUACCACUACUCUUAUUGUUUCCUUACUUACUUGAUUAAAUGGAACGUGUAUCAUUUCCUAGCCAUUAUACGGAUAUAAUUAUUAUGUCUUAUGGUAUUGGGUUUUGAUGCAAGCUUCUUGAUCAAAGUAUCACGAGUUUGUUAUAUAAUCGCAAACAAAUUCUUUAAUGAGAGAAUGCAUUUAUGUAUUAUUGAUUUAAAAAUUUGGUAUAACUCCAAUUACUCAGGUAUGAUCCAAUUCAAGGACAUUGCCAGGUAGGGAAU